UACGAAGGGGGCUAGCGUUGCUCGGAAUUACUGGGCGUAAAGGGCGCGUAGGCGGAUACUUAAGUCGGGGGUGAAAGCCCGGGGCUCAACCUCGGAAUUGCCUUCGAUACUGGGUAUCUUGAGUUCGGGAGAGGUGAGUGGAAUGCCAAGUGUAGAGGUGAAAUUCGUAGAUAUUCGGCGGAACACCAGUAGCAAAGGCGACUCACUGGACCGAUACUGACGCUGAUGCGCGAAAGCGUGGGGAUCAAACAGG
rnacentral:rRNA from 1 species